AUUGAACGCUGGCGGCAGGCCUAACACAUGCAAGUCGAGCGGAGCGCCGGUCGCGUGCGUAUUGCUUAGGCAUCUGCCUGUUAGUGGUGGAUAACGUCCGCUAACGGGCCCUUUUACCGCUUCCUUUCAUUUUAGCCUCGGUCGGAUUAGCUAUUUGGUGGGGUAAAGGCCUACCAAGGCGACGACCCGUAUCUGUUCUGAGAGGAUGAUCAGUCACACUGGAACUGAGACACGGACCAGACUCCUACGGGAGGCAGCAGUGGGGAAUAUUGGACAAUGGGCGAAAGCCUGAUCCAGCCAUGCCGCGUGUGUGAAGAAGGUCUUCGGAUUGUAAAGCACUUUAAGUUGGGAGGCGUUACCAACAGAAUAAGCACCGGCUAACUUCGUGCCAGCAGCCGCGGUAAUUC
rnacentral:rRNA from 1 species